rnacentral:rRNA from 1 species
ACGCUCGACACCUACGGGAGGCAGCAGUGGGGAAUAUUGCACAAUGGGGGAAACCCUGAUGCAGCAACGCCGCGUGAAGGAAGACGGUUUUCGGAUUGUAAACUUCUGUUCUUAGUGAAGAUAGUGACGGUAGCUAAGGAGCAAGCCACGGCUAACUACGUGCCACAGCCGCGGUAAUCUGAGCGGGCUGGCAAGGC